rnacentral:rRNA from 1 species
AGAGUUUGAUCAUGGCUCAGAAUCAACGCUGGCGGCGUGCCUAACACAUGCAAGUCGAACGAGAAAGUGGAGCAAUCCAUGAGUAAAGUGGCGCACGGGUGAGUAACACGUGACUAACCUACCCUUGAGUGGGGAAUAACUUCGGGAAACCGAGGCUAAUACCGCAUAACACCUACGGGUCAAAGGAGCAAUUCGCUUAAGGAGGGGGUCGCGGCAGAUUAGUUAGUUGGCGGGGUAAUGGCCCACCAAGACAGUGAUCUGUAUCCGGCCUGAGAGGGCGCACGGACACACUGGAACUGAGACACGGUCCAGACUCCUACGGGAGGCAGCAGUGGGGAAUUUUGCGCAAUGGGGGAAACCCUGACGCAGCAACGCCGCGUGGAGGAUGAAGUCUCUUGGGACGUAAACUCCUUUCGAUCGGGACGAUAAUGACGGUACCGGAAGAAGAAGCCCCGGCUAACUUCGUGCCAGCAGCCGCGGUAAUACGAGGGGGGCGAGCGUUGUUCGGAAUUAUUGGGCGUAAAGGGUGCGUAGGCGGUUCGGUAAGUCUUGUGUGAAAUCUUCGGGCUCAACUCGAAGUCUGCACGAGAAACUGCCGGGCUUGAGUGUGGGAGAGGUGAGUGGAAUUUCCGGUGUAGCGGUGAAAUGCGUAGAUAUCGGAAGGAACACCUGUGGCGAAAGCGGCUCACUGGACCACAACUGACGCUGAGGCACGAAAGCUAGGGGAGCAAACAGGAUUAGAUACCCUAGUAGUCC